AACUGAAAUUCUAAAUAAAGAUCAAGGCCAACUCAAAGUCACCAUGAGACAAAUGACCCCAAAGAAACCUUUUGAUGUCAGUUCUUUUUUGCUCUGAGAAGAAUGUGAAACCUCUUGCCUCUUCUUUAGAGAGGAUUAUUAAUGGUCCUAUAAACUGGAGUUUAAAUCUGGAAACAUUUCUAAUCAGAGGAAAGAGCACUGGGCCUGGAGUCAGAAGGUCUGGGUUCUGGUCCUGGAUGUUCAAUAGCGAAACCACUCAAACUGCUCUGUGUCAGGUUUGGGUUUUAUUUUUUUUUUUCCAUGAAGCAGAGAGAUGUGACUACAGAAAAUCUAGGAUUCCUUCCGUCCGGGCCAGCCACAAGAAAUCAAGUUUAAAAACAACACUUUAAAAACUCAAGAGUAAAAUUUGGAUUUGGCAAGAUCCUGAAUGACUUCCGAAUUUCAUUUCCUAUGUUAGCUCACAAGUCUGGCCACGAGUGCUUUUAGCUUCCUAAAAAUCAUACAUUUAGGAAUUUCUCAAUCAACAUCCCAUGUAGAAAACAGAAACCACUCAAGUAUUAUAAGCAGAAGGACUUUAAUGUAAGGAAUCGGACGUUUAGAGUAGCAAGCUCUAAGAUGGGCCUCCAGGAAUAAAUCCCAGAUGCCACAGAACGAACCCGCCUGAGGAGCUAUGCUUUCUACAUGCUGGGAAAGCUGAGAAUGAAGAAACACUGUUGGACGGUCUGAGAACAGGAGCACCCCACCACAGCUCUGAUGCAGACAGCAAGAAGCCAGGAUGGAGAAGCUGUCUCCUGGCCACACAUUUUGCAUGGAGACUAACUAUGGAAUUGGGAUGCCAAAAAUCCUGUCAUGAUUCUGGCUGCUGGAGGACACACCAAGUCCUCAUGAAAAUCAACCAGGUCUCUUUACCAUCUUGCACCCCUCACACGAGUGUAUCCAGCUGCUGGAGACUCGCUUAUACCCAGGACUGUAACCACGAGGGAAUCUGGGAAGCACAAUUUGGGCUUCCUGGCCUCUGCAACACAGGUUGGCACAAAGCCACCAGUCUCUCGCAUGGCCGUCAGAGGAGCUAUGGCAGUAACUCCUCGUUUUUCUAAAAGAGAGACUGAUGAGCACAGUUAUAGUGUUAUCAGCAAUCCAUUCGCAAAAGCAGAAGGGGAACUUGUCUCUCAGUCCCCUGAGACAGAGAUGUCAUCAAUCUCCGGAGAUGUGAGGCAUCGCCUGUAGAAUCUAGACAUGUCUUGUCCAUUUCCCCCUUCUCCUCCCAUAGCCUAACCGGCUCAGUCCUGGCUAGGCACAAAUCAGCACAGGGCCACUAAGCUGACGUUUAAAGUAAGGGGACAUGACCAUGUUCCUACAGUCCAAGAUCUCCAUUCUCAGAAUGGUUAAUACUCAGGGAGUGAUUAACUAUAACACAUUUCAUUUCUUUUUACUUUGCUUUGAUCCAGAAAGACUUCAGGAGAGCUGUUCACUAUAGCAUGGACUGAUUGGCUGGACUACUUAUGAACCUCCGAAUGUGGGUCACGUACACAGCCCAUCUUGGAACAAAAGAGCCAUAAGGCAUUCCUUACACUGAAGUUACACAUGAUCCUGGCCCCUGGGCACCAUUAAGCAUGCCAGCAACUCUUGCUUAGGCCAUGGCAGCCAUAGAGGCUUGUAGUAUCCUUGAUUUGAGAAUUCAAGCAGAACCUGGGGGGUUUUGUUAGAUAGCAAUUCAUUGAACCAACCAGAUGUUCUCUCUUGGGAUGUUUAAAUAUGAAAUGCACAGAGACCCACCUGAGGGGCCAGGGCAGCUAAGAGACACAUAGAGAAAGGGAAAGAAGCUGAAGCUAAGAUGUAGAGAGUAGGAAAAGAGGUCAACAGUUGAAAGAGGUGAAGAGAAGCAGAUAUCACCUUGGUAGAUGCCAUAGAAACAGAGACAAACUUAGGUAUAAAAACAGUAACUCAGAGACACCAACCUGUAGCACUAUACAUGAAAAGUAAUCUCGCCCUAGGACAGAGGUGCAGUUUCUUACUUUUUUGCAAUCCUUAAUAAUUCACACUCUCUAAAGUGACUUCCUUUCCUCGCAACCUCAAUGAGCCUAACUCAGGCAACCUUGCUCCCACAGUAGACGGAACUGACCUUUCCAGGUUUGUGCCUCGGUUUACUGUUUAGAAUGAGCAGCCUCUGUUUGCAAAUGAAGUUGUUGGGAAAUUUACCAUUCAACACCUCCUCGGGGGCCCCAGAGAAAUGGUUGGUGGGAAAUUAAAUCUGUCUUUUGAUGUUUUGAGGCUGGAGGAAUGUCUCCAUCUGUUCUUUAACAGACCAGGUGUUUAAAUGGUUCUUCCUGAUAGGGGUUCAUAGUAUAAAUGAAAGUCCAAAGAUGACAGAAAUGCGGCCCAACAUCCAGAAGACAGUGGGAAGUCUGCUAAAGGUAAUAUGUGUAUCGAGGUGAAUCUCGGCUGAGUUAUCAGAGAAAUUAAUCAGGACCAAAACGUUCCUAUAAGAAUAGAGAAUGCUUUGGGGCGCCUGGGUGGCACAGCGGUUAAGCGUCUGCCUUCGGCUCAGGGCGUGAUCCCGGCGUUAUGGGAUCGAGCCCCACAUCAGGCUCCUCCGCUAUGAGCCUGCUUCUUCCUCUCCCACUCCCCCUGCUUGUGUUCCCUCUCUCGCUGGCUGUCUCUAUCUCUGUCAAAUAAAUAAAUAAAAUCUUUAAAAAAAAAAAAAAGAAUAGAGAAUGCUUUGACAUUAAUGCCCCAAAAUUCAUAUGUCGGAGCCCUAAUCCCCAAUGUAACUAUAUUUGGAGAUAGGCCUAUGAGGAGGUAAUUAAAGUGAAAUGAGGUCCUAAGGGUGGUAUCCUGAUAAAAUAGAAGCAGUGCCCUUCUAAGAAGUAACGUCAGAGAUCGUGCACACAGCAGGAAGGCAGCCACCUACAAGCCAAGAAAGAGGCCUCAGAAUAAAACAGAAUAUUUUGUUAUGGCAGCCUGAGCUGACUAAGAGAGCUUGGUUUCAUCAUCCCUCUGCCUCCUGUAAGUUUGAAAAACA
rnacentral:lncRNA from 1 species